ensembl:misc_RNA Metazoa_SRP Metazoan signal recognition particle RNA
GCCAGGUGUGGUGGUGCACACUUCUAGUCCCAGCUGUUUAGGAGGCUGAGGUGGGAGGAUCACUUGAGCCCAGGAGUUUUAGGCUGCAGUGAGCUAUAAUUAUGCCACUGCACACCAACCUGGGCAACAGAGUGAGACCUGCCUCAA